rnacentral:rRNA from 1 species
GUAGGGAAUCUUCCACAAUGGGCGAAAGCCUGAUGGAGCAACGCCGCGUGUGUGAUGAAGGGUUUCGGCUCGUAAAACACUGUUGUAAGAGAAGAAUGACAUUGAGAGUAACUGUUCAAUGUGUGACGGUAUCUUACCAGAAAGGAACGGCUAAAUACGUACCAG